rnacentral:rRNA from 1 species
UACGUAGGCAGCGAGCGUUACUCGGAAUUACUGGGCGUAAAGCGUGCGUAGGCGGUUUGUUAAGUCCGCUGUGAAAGCCCUGGGCUCAACCUGGGAAUUGCAGUGGAUACUGGCAAGCUAGAGUGCGGUAGAGGAUGGUGGAAUUCCCGGUGUAGCGGUGAAAUGCGUAGAGAUCGGGAGGAAUACCAGUGGCGAAGGCGGCUUCCUGGCCUGUUCUUGACGCUGAGGCGCGAAAGCUAGGGUAGCAAACGGG